ensembl:lncRNA
CUUGUCUAUGUAGCGUAGGGGGCGGGAAUUUCAAUUCGGAAAAUGGAGGACAUUGUAACAUUUGAAACCAACGUGCUCUACAAAUAUCGCUAAUACAGGCGACUAAUGAAAAUGAUCAAGCAUAAAAAAAUAUGCCACAGAAGAAGAACCGUCAAACUGCAAACUCAUUUCCGGUUUUUAACUGCGCAAUUACCGUGUGUGGAUUCGACUUGCCGCCCCUUUGACUCGGAAUCGCACUACACGGAUACCUGCUCAGAAAGACAAGAGAAACGCUAGUUUGGGAGAUUAAAUUCAACACAAUGAGCGGCCAACAGAGGACUUCUGCGUGGUGUGCUCCUUUGCCGAAGAAAAUGCAGAUGAGAGCAUGAUUGAAAAGGUGCAGUGUGGAUUGUGCAGUCGGUGGGCACAUUUUGAGUGUGCCCAAUAUGCCCAUAAAAAUAAGGCUGUAUAUAUUUGCAAGAAAUGACUUCAAAUAAAAAGAUUUGAGAUCUUUUGGUUG